rnacentral:misc_RNA from 1 species
GAUGAAGAACGUAGCGAAAUGCGAUAAGUAAUGUGAAUUGCAGAAUUCAGUGAACCAUCGAAUCUUUGAACGCACAUUGCGCCCGGCAGUAAUCUGCCGGGCAUGCCUGUCCGAGCGUCAUUUCUACCCUCGAGCGAGUUCAGCAUCUAGGUGCUGGGCCUCGCCCGGCGUUGGAGCACUACGGGAAGCCCUGUGCUGUCCCCCGUAGGCCCCGAAAUGAAGUGGCGGUCCUGCCGCGGCGCCCCCUGCGUAGUAUAACAGCUCGCUUCGGGACCCGGUGGAGGCCUGCCGUCAAACCUAUACUCUCUAAGUUUGACCUCGGAUCAGGUAGGGUUACCCGCUGAACUUAAGCAUAUCAAUAAGCGGAGGA